GGCGGCGGACGGGUGAGUAACGCGUGGGUAACCUGCCCUGUACACACGGAUAACAUACCGAAAGGUAUGCUAAUACGAGAUAAUAUGCUUUUAUCGCAUGGUAGAAGUAUCAAAGCUCCGGCGGUACAGGACGGACCCGCGUCUGAUUAGCUAGUCGGUAAGGUAACGGCUUACCAAGGCGACGAUCAGUAGCCGACCUGAGAGGGUGAUCGGCCACAUUGGAACUGAGACACGGUCCAAACUCCUACGGGAGGCAGCAGUGGGGAAUAUUGCACAAUGGGCGAAAGCCUGAUGCAGCAACGCCGCGUGAGCGAUGAAGGUCUUCGGGUCGUAAAGCUCUGUCCUCAAGGAAGAUAAUGACGGUACUUGAGGAGGAAGCCCCGGCUAACUACGUGCCAGCAGCCGCGGUAAUACGUAGGGGGCUAGCGUUAUCCGGAAUUACUGGGCGUAAAGGGUGCGUAGGUGGUUUCUUAAGUCAGAGGUGAAAGGCUACGGCUCAACCGUAGUAAGCCUUUGAAACUGGGAAACUUGAGUGCAGGAGAGGAGAGUGGAAUUCCUAGUGUAGCGGUGAAAUGCGUAGAUAUUAGGAGGAACACCAGUUGCGAAGGCGGCUCUCUGGACUGUAACUGACACUGAGGCACGAAAGCGUGGGGAGCAAACAGGAUUAGAUACCCUGGUAGUCCACGCCGUAAACGAUGAGUACUAGCUGU
rnacentral:rRNA from 1 species